rnacentral:rRNA from 1 species
CCUACGGGAGGCAGCAGUGGGGAAUAUUGGACAAUGGGCGAAAGCCUGAUCCAGCAAUGCCGCGUGAGUGAUGAAGGCCUUAGGGUCGUAAAGCUCUUUUACCAGGGAUGAUAAUGACAGUACCUGGAGAAUAAGCUCCGGCUAACUCCGUGCCAGCAGCCGCGGUAAUACGGAGGGAGCUAGCGUUGUUCGGAAUUACUGGGCGUAAAGCGUACGUAGGCGGUUAUUCAAGUCAGAGGUGAAAGCCCGGGGCUCAACCCCGGAACGGCCUUUGAAACUAGAUAGCUAGAGUCUUGGAGAGGUCAGUGGAAUUCCGAGUGUAGAGGUGAAAUUCGUAGAUAUUCGGAAGAACACCAGUGGCGAAGGCGACUGACUGGACAAGUACUGACGCUGAGGUACGAAAGCGUGGGGAGCAAACAGGAUUAGAUACCCUGGUAGUCCACGCCGUAAACGAUGAUAACUAGCUGUCCGGGUACUUGGUAUCUGGGUGGCGCAGCUAACGCAUUAAGUUAUCCGCCUGGGGAGUACGGUCGCAAGAUUAAAACUCAAAUGAAUUGACGG